rnacentral:misc_RNA from 1 species
ACAGCAGCAAAAUCAGUGAACCUUUUCCUUGGGAGGUGAAGAAACUCUGCAUAUUCUCUGCUACCUUCGUCACUCUUAUGGAGCUGCAGCACAAGAGGACGCCGUGUAACAAUCCCAGAUCCACGUGGUAAGAAGUCCUUCCCAACAAUGCUUUCCAACACUGAAGACUUCCCCGAACUCUGGCCACCGACGACGGCGAUUGCGGGCAAGGAAUCCCAGAGCGUAGGCAAUGCGCUUGCUUCACCGUGAUCACCGAGAGCGGUACAAGCUCUCUGUAUUUUAUUAACCAGAGAAAUCAAAUUCUCCAUAUCAGGAAAAGAAAGAAAACAAUAAACAAAGACGGAGAUCGGUGCCGGUAAUCGCAGGUGUCAGAUUCAGAUCGCCUGGAUCUGACAACUUCGGAGGGAAACCGCACCAGUAGGGAGAUCGAUGGAUCUGUGACAAGGACUUGCCGGCUACAGAGAAGGAGAAAGGGAGCUUGUUGAGACUCGAACGAAGCGCGUUUUAGCAGGGGUUAAGAAUUAGUAGCGUUUUGGUUUUGAAAU